rnacentral:lncRNA from 13 species
CGUUCCGGUGAAAUGAAGGGAAAGACUGGGGCCCCUUUCCCGUUCUGGACCAAUAGGAACGCAGGUUUGCGCUCCUCACACGUGAUGCUGACAGAUGUUUUUCCGGAAGAGGGAUGACUUCAUUCCUGAUACACAAGUUCAUUUGCAUCUUACCGGAGACCAGCCACCACAUCCAUCCUCAGUACCUGAGACCAGCCACUGUCAGACACCACAUCCAUCCUCAGUACCUGAGACCAGCCACUGUCAGACACCACAUCCAUCCUCAGUACCUGACCAGCCACUGUCAGACACCACAUCCAUCCUCAGUACCUGAGACCAGCCACUGUCAGACACCACAUCCGUCCUCAGUAUUUCUUUCCUGUCUGUAUGACACAUUGUUAUUCUGGAGUUCCUGUCUGUAUGACACAUUGUUAUUCUGGAGUUCCUGUCUGUAUGACACACUGUGUUAUUCUGGAGUUCCUGUCUGUAUGACACAUUGUUAUUCUGGAGUUCCUGUCUGUAUGACACACUGUGUUAUUCUGGAGUUCCUGUCUGUAUGACACACUGUUAUUCUGGAGUUCCUUCUAGGCUCUUAAUGUUGAUCCCACAAAUAAAACGACUUUGUAAAUGGAGCACAUUGUUGUGUUACAGUUUAGUCUGUCCUCCUCUGUCAAUGUUCAGCAUGUUAAAAUGGAGCACAGACAACAGUUUGAUCUCUGUCCUUUUAAUAGUCUCUUAUUUAUGAUUUCUCAGGUCGUUCCUGGCUCUCUUCAUUCAUUUAUCCAUUCAUCCACCCAUCAUGAGCUCAUCUUCAGGCCUUGUCCAUCCAUCCAUCCAUCCAUCCAUCCAUCCAUCCAUCCAUCCAUCCAUCCAUCCAUCCAUCCUCAUAGAAAUAUACACAUUUAUUCCUUACAAUCUUCUUCAGGUUUAGAAUAUAAAACGGGUCCAAGCACAGACAGUCAUGGUUCUGUCCUGUCCGU